UGCUUGCUCUACCGGGAUUUAAAAUGUUAGCUUCCUAAAGUGUCUGCAAUAGCCUAGCAAACUACUGAAGCUUCAUAUGAUCCUGUACCAGAUGUGGGGAAAAGGUCGCUUGAAAAUGCUGGCCUGAUUGCUUUCUAUCGCAUCUGUUCUAGUACAUGUAACGUAGACAGUCUGUGGAGGGGGAACUGGUACUGUGAGGCCAUUCAGAUGGACGCCUCGUCUUCAAGGAUUUUUUUUUUCCAAAGUCUGUAGCACCGGGGGAAUGUGAUACUUAUGAAGACUAGAUUUCCUUUGAAUGCUUCUUGGCCCAGAUGAUGAACAUUUGCUAAUGGAAUGGUUGGCACAAGCGGAAAACAAAAAUUGAAAAACCAGAUGCUAUGUAUGUAGAUACCGUGACAAAAAUUGUUGGCAUUGUUGUAGUAUCUACAACGGUCUGCUGCAUGAUGCGAGGAGGACGUGUUGCUCCGCAUCUUCGUGUUUGCACGUGGCUGCUGCAGCUAGAUGUUGUGAAUUUGUUCUCGACUGUUGCAGUGAUACAGUGCCUUUGUGUAUCGAGGAAAUGGCUGAGGCGGUCUGCCUAGGUGAUGGAAGAUCCUGUACUGGGCCUGGAGAGUGUGACAGUGGGGAUG